GAUCGAUCCCUCUCCUUCCAGCACCAGCUUGGAAAUAAUCUCCAAGGGGCAGGCGGUAGCCCCCGCCUCGCCCGCCUCGCUCCAAAUUUAGCAGCCAACCGGCUCCGAGAAGGACCUUCCCCAAAAGAAAUCUCCAGUCAACGUGAUGGAGAAUGUGGGACCCUCCAGAAUGUGGGACAACAACUUCCUGGCCAGCAUAAUCAAGGAUGAUGGUAUUGCAAUCCAACAACAUCUGAACAGUCAUAAAUUCCUCAAAUUUGGAAAUCUGCAGACUUACCUUAACCUUCGAAAAGCCACUUAUUAUUUCAAAAAUAAUCCUUGGGGCAGCUUAAAAGGGGCAAAACAAAACCAAAAUACCUGUUCUAUGGCACAAGUAUCAUGAACGAGCGUCUGCCACAUCAACUGGA